ensembl:lncRNA
CCUCUGCCUGCUGCUGCCCGGGCAGUGGAUCCCCUGCGGCAGCCCCUCGCGCCCUGUCAGAGCACCGCUCCAGCUGGUGACCCCAGGCCCCGGGCUAAGCAGCCUGCAGGAGGCCGUGGCCGUGCUGAGGGGCUUCUUUUCACAGAUCCAACGUGCCCAGCCCGCUGCCAGCACUGCCGUGCACGAGGGCUGCUCUCAGGCACCGGAGCCAUGGCGCCAGGCGGUGGCGGAGGCUCCCGGCUUCAGAAACACCUGCACUCUGUCUAGACAGACUUCCCUGGCCAAAACAGAUACGGCAACAACCAGUUCAAAGCAUCCACUGCCUCUCCAACGCCGUGCUUCCCUUAGACAGCUUCCUGGCUUCUCCUCCUACCAAGGCCAGGAUGCAUCCCCGCAUGUCCAGCAGUGGGUGGGCAGCUCUGUGCACGGAGCCCCUAUCCCUCCUGCUGCAAACCCUGGGCUUUUAGGAGGAAAGAAGACUCAUUCCUCUCCCACCCCGGGUCUGUAAGUGGCUGCUCUCAAGACCUGUCCUCGGUACUCUCUUCACCUUCAACGCCUCAAAUCUAUCCACUUCUUUUAGAGCAAAAGCCCCAUCUCCCCCCUCUGCACCUCCCCCUGUGCCAGCAGUGACCCUCUGCUCUCCUGUGCCAGCUGUGACCUCCCACCGCAACACCGGGACACCUCUGUACCUUCAGAGAUGUGUUUAAACCAUUGGCCAUCCACACUCAAAGCAUCGAGCCCCACUCCUGGCCUUGCAGUCCAGCUGACACCAACAGAUGAGCUCUUGGUGAGGCGCCUGUUUCCCCAGAAGCUGAAUUAAAACGUGUGCUGUGGUCCCCGGUCACAGCCCUGGAAAUACAGUUACAGUCAGAGCUGGUUUCCAGCACCCCCUAUUCUCUGCUUUUUAUCUUAACAUUUGAGAGGACGCAUUUCAUUUUCCCAGCUUUUCUUUGUGACUGCAAGGAAGAGAUGCGUUCCCAGUGACGACAGCUGCGCAUCUCAUGCAUUUGAUGGCUUUGGAAACAGCUUCAGCUCAGCCAUUGCCCAGGAUCCA